rnacentral:tRNA from 1 species
GCUAGAAUAGCUCAGUCGGUAGAGCGACGCACUCGUAAUGCGUAGGCCGAGGGUUCGAUUCCCUUUUCUAGCUCCA